rnacentral:rRNA from 1 species
GNAANCUGCUUUUGUNCGGAACGAAAAGGCCCUGGUGAACAACCGGGGUUGCUGACGGUACCGUAAGAAUAAGCACCGGCUAACUACGUGCCAGCAGCCGCGGUAAUACGUAGGGUGCGAGCGUUAAUCGGAAUUACUGGGCGUAAAGCGUGCGCAGGCGGACAUGCAAGACAGAUGUGAAAUCCCCGGGCUCAACCUGGGAACUGCAUAUGUGACUGUAUGACUGGAGUACGGCAGAGGGGGAUGGAAUUCCGCGUGUAGCAGUGAAAUGCGUAGAUAUGCCGGAGGAACACCGAUGGCGAAGGCAAUCCCCUGGGCCAGUACUGACGCUCAUGCACGAAAGCGUGGGGAGCAAACAGGAUUAGAUACCCUGGUAGUCC